rnacentral:rRNA from 1 species
GUCUACGGGAGGCAGCAGUGGGGAAUGUACGCAACGCAGCAGUGGGUAAUCCAGCCCAAUGGCGCAAGCCUGAUGCCGCCAUGCCGCGUGAGUGAUGAAGGCCGUAGGAAGUAAAGCUCCAGACGCGAAGAUAAUGACGGUACGGAAGAAGAAGCAGGCUACAUG